rnacentral:tmRNA from 2 species
GGGACUGUUAGGUUUCUACAUAUAACACAAAAUGUUUGGAUAAUAGGGAAUAAAAAAAUAGUUGAACUUUAUAAUGUUUAGCUACAAAGUAAAUGCAAAACAUCAAAUCAGUCCUUUCUCUAAGAAUAUUGUAUUAGCAUAAUCAUUCUACAUUAUUCAUUAGAUAACUUUUAGAAAAUUAUAAAAUAAGUUUCAUAAUAUUUUAUAGUCAGUUAAGUAAUGAAUGCGCUUACAAAUUUUUAAGAUAAGCUAAGUGUAAAUAACAGGUAAUAAUUUAUAUAUUCUUUCCCUUUUACUUAAAUAUAUUAAGUAAACUUUACAUCUUGUUUUAAUAUGGACGUGGGUUCGAAUCCCACCA